rnacentral:rRNA from 1 species
AGAGUUUGAUCCUGGCUCAGAACAAACGCUGGCGGCGUGCCUAACACAUGCAAGUCGUACGAGAAAGUCUGCUUCGGCGGAUGAGUAAAGUGGCGCACGGGUGAGUAACGCGUGGAUAAUCUGCCCUUUAGUUGGGGAUAACUCAUCGAAAGGUGGGCUAAUACCGAAUAAUACUGUUCCUUCCUCGGGAGGACAGUCAAAGGAGGCCUCUGUUUACAAGCUUUCACUGGAGGAUGAGUCCGCGUACCAUUAGCUAGUUGGUAGGGUAAUGGCCUACCAAGGCGACGAUGGUUAGCUGGUCUGAGAGGAUGAUCAGCCACACUGGAACUGAGAUACGGUCCAGACUCCUACGGGAGGCAGCAGUAGGGAAUCUUCCACAAUGGACGAAAGUCUGAUGGAGCAACGCCGCGUGAGUGAUGAAGGUUUUCGGAUCGUAAAACUCUGUUGUAAGGGAAGAACAAGUACGAGAGGUAAUGCUCGUACCUUGACGGUACCUUGCGAGAAAGCCACGGCUAACUACGUGCCAGCAGCCGCGGUAAUACGUAGGUGGCAAGCGUUGUCCGGAAUUAUUGGGCGUAAAGCGCGCGCAGGCGGCCUUUUAAGUCUGAUGUGAAAGCCCCCGGCUCAACCGGGGAGGGUCAUUGGAAACUGGAAGGCUUGAGUACAGAAGAGAAGAGUGGAAUUCCAUGUGUAGCGGUGAAAUGCGUAGAGAUGUGGAGGAACACCAGUGGCGAAGGCGACUCUUUGGUCUGUAACUGACGCUGAGGCGCGAAAGCGUGGGGAGCAAACAGGAUUAGAUACCCUGGUAGUCC